CCCUUAGACGUUCUGGGCCGCACGCGCGCUACACUGACGAAGGCAACGAGCUUUCCUUUACCGAAAGGUACGGGUAAUCUUUUGAAACUUCGUCGUGCUGGGGAUAGAUCCUUGCAAUUUUUGAUCUUAAACGAGGAAUGCCUAGUAAGCGCAAGUCAUCAACUUGCGUUGAUUACGUCCCUGCCCUUUGUACACACCGCCCGUCGCUACUACCGAUUGAAUGGUUUAGUGAGGCCUUCGGAUCCGCGACUCGUUUUGUGGAGAAGUUGGACAAACUCAGUCAUUUAGAGGAAGUAAAANUCGUAACA
rnacentral:rRNA from 1 species